rnacentral:rRNA from 1 species
UACGUAGGGGGCAAGCGUUGUCCGGAAUCAUUGGGCGUAAAGAGCGUGUAGGCGGCCUGGUAAGUCCGCUGUGAAAGUCCAGAGCUCAACCCUGGAAUGCCGGUGGAAACUGUCAGGCUCGAGUCCGGAAGAGGCGAGUGGAAUUCCUGGUGUAGCGGUGAAAUGCGCAGAUAUCAGGAGGAACACCAAUGGCGAAGGCAGCUCGCUGGGACGGUACUGACGCUGAGACGCGAAAGCGUGGGGAGCAAACAGG